rfam:Paxillus rubicundulus Ve08.2h10 scaffold_2064_c1, whole genome shotgun sequence.
AGACUGGUAGCUCAGUUGGAAGAGCACCACUGUACUACAUACAUUGGAAGCCACAGGUUCAAUCCCUAUCUAGUUGA